GGUUCCUCUGGCUUAUUUCAACUACUGCAUUUUUUAAAUAAAAAUGUAUUUAUUUGUAUUAUAUUUUGAUGCUCUUAAUAAUUCAGUGUUAAAAGCACGCAAAAAUCUAUAUAAAUUGUGCUACCUUACUAAAUUUUAUUCUUGAUUGCCGUUAGAAAAGUUUGUGUUAGGCUCUCAACCAAUUCAUCCAUAUCCAAUAUUUAGGAAGUACUCCCUAAAUGUGAUUUAUUCUUUUCAAAAAUAAACUUUCAUUAAUCUACAGUUUAUCUCCGGUUCACCUAUUUUUCCUUGUGGUUUAUUUUCGAUAACUAUUGCAGAUACUACACAUAAUGUUCCAUUCUAUAACUGUAUUUUCAUUUAAAUUGGAUUGUUGUUCAUACCAUUUUAUAUUUGUCAUUUCAUGACCAGCCAUAUAUAAAUCGCACUGCAGUCGUAAAUUAUAUUUGCAAUUUCACUAACCAAUUACCACUACGGAUAAUAUUUACCUUUUAUUUUAAAUUACAUUUCCAAAUAUCUCUUUACUGAAAUAUGACUUUGCUAAGAGAUUGUUUGAACAAAUUCGUACACUUUGCAACACUUUGUGGUCUUGAAGAUGUCAGACAGCUUCCUUCUCUUGUAAUAACAAAUUUAAAAAAAAUAUUUGUUAGUUAGGCGCAAGAACUGUAAUACUGUAUAGUAAAUAAUAUUGCUGACGAGUGACGACUACUAUGAACAAUAGGUAGGUAACCUAACAAACGACUUUCAACUGACAAAAUAAAUAGUUAAUGAUCUUAUGAUAAGAUACGUAGAUAGUAAAUUGUACAUUGAAAACAAAAUUAAAUUUUAAACUACAAUGAUACAAAUUAUAAUGUGGGAAUGUAAAUUUAUAAAAAGAUUCACAAUUUUAUUUAACCAACAGUACCUAUAUAUAUUAUCAGGUUUCCUGUAUGAGGUAGUCAAGAUAACGUGGGUUUUUAUAACAGGGAGUCUUGGAAAUAUUUGGGUAACCCGAGAUAACCCGGAAUUACCCUAAUAAAAGCUAUGAAUAAUAUUAGGUAAUUUACAUACUAAAGAAUCUACAGUCGUCAGAUAAAUUGAGACGGCGGCGGCGCUUUUCAGUAAGUGUAGCCUAAACUAGUUGCUGGCAGUGUGGUGCAAAGGUCACACAGUUGGCUACGACAAGAGCAGUCACCAGUUCGAUCCCGACUCAGUGCAAAAAAUUGUAUUUAUUAUUAUUAUUAUUUUAAAAUUUCUACUUUUUGUUCUUUAAUAAAAGAUAAUUAUCAGAAUAUUUAAUUUUUAAUUAAUAUCGUAAAAUAAUUUUUGUGACAAUUGUUGGGUUAUUGAUGUAUUUUCGGUAAUAAUAUUCAAAUACGGAGAACCACUGGUUUUCCGUUAUCGCACCUCCGCCGCCGUCUCAAUUUAUCUGGCAACGUCUGUACUUUGAUCAGAUUAACUAACAUAUAAUUUAUGAAAAGGCUUUCUAAAACAAAUUUAAAUAAGAUUAUAAAAAUAUAAAUAGGUGGAAGAUUUUUAUGUAUAAAUUUAAUCAUAUUGCUUUACAAUAAUGUGUUGGUUUUGGAAAUUACAUGAUUAAGAAGGUCUGUUAGGUAUUUUAUCUUGAACCCUAAUGUGCUUAUCACUUAACCAAGUAUAAAACAGUAUGUUUUGUGAGAAAAUAUUUAGUUUGUUGAAAUGCAUUGCCCGGGGCAGUAUAUCAAAGAUAAUGGUAUGCAACGGAGGGAUGCCAGAGAUAUCUCAAAUAUAUAUAUAGAAAAAAUGGUAUGGAAAUCUAAUGAAAUAGUUUUAGACUUAGGAUGUGGACCAGGUGAUGUUACCUCAGAUAUUCUUUAUCCUUUUUUAAAGAAUAAAAUCAAUCAGUUGGUUGGUGUUGAUAAAUCAAUAGAAAUGGUAGAAUUUGCAAGAAAAACCUAUGGAUGCUCCAAGAUGGAUUUCAAAGUUCUGGAUAUAGAAAAUGCCCAUGACUGCUCUUUUUAUUCGCACACAUUUAACAAAAUAUUUUCAUUUUUCUGCUUUCACUGGGUUCAUAAUAAAGUUGAUUCCUUGCUGAAUAUGCACUUAAUGUUGAAAAGUGGUGGAGAAAUUCUGGUUAACUUCAUGUUAAUUAAUCCAUUUGUUGAAUUGUAUAAAUGUAUGGAUACAGAAUGGCAAAUAUAUAUUAAAGAUAUAAAGCGGAUGUCACAAAAUGUGUAUUCACAAGGUGAAAUAAGAGACAUUUUCACCAAGGCUGGAUUUCGAAUUAUUAAUUUAGAAUCAAGUAUCAAAAAAUAUACAUUUCCAGACUUCCCAUCACUUUUAAGUGCCGUUAAAGCAGUAGAUGUUAUGUACAAUAUUUUGCCACAACAUUUGCAUGACAGAUACUCCAUGCAUGUUAAAGAUAAAAUAUGUGAGAGACAAAUGGUUGAAAUAUGCUCCAUUACAGGAAAAAUAAUCAAGGCAUAUCUUCCUAUUACUGUGCAUGCUGUCAAAGAUUAAAAUUUUUAAAAAAAUUAAAUUUUCAAGGAAGAAAGAAUGAGUUCAACUUUCAAGAGCAUUCAAGAAGUUACAUGUGCAAGAUACAAGCAAUACAUACUGGACCCAUAUCGGACUCAGACUUCGAUACGAGUCGCAACUUGCUCAUUUUUCCUUUUACAAGCAAAUAUCAUCCUUGUUUUGACAUAAUAUGUAAUAAUAUAUUUUGUUAGUAUUUGGCUAUGUAUUGGGCAACCAACCUUUGUCAAAAUGUUUUGUUUAUUUAUUUCUUCCAUAACUACAAAAUAUGUUUAAAAAAUAAAGAGUAUAAAAUGUGUGUGAAGUUUUUUAAUUUAAAUGCAACAUUACAAACAUACCUUCUAUUAAUAUAUGUUGUUUCACACAUUUUUCUUCAAUAAUUUUUGUUAUUAUUACUUCUAACUUAAAUAUAAUUUCUUUCAAAUUAUUUGAAGGGAUUAAUAAAAAUCCCUUGCUUCUUGAUUUUAUUAGAUUAUCCUCGGGAUCCAAGUUUUGCACAUUGAUAUCUACAUCAUUAAUCAAUGAUAAAUAGCAGUUUUCACAAUGUUUGGCAGUUGAAAAUUUUUUAGCCUGUCUUGCAAUGUAACCAAUGAAAUAUGUUAGGGCUGACAUGUCAAUACUAUCGUUUAUUAAAAAGUCUUGUUCCGUGUAAGUAUGGUCUAAUAAUGCAUCAAAUCAAUUUUUUCUUAAAGCCUAAAGAAAAUAGUUUAAAUAAAAUAGCCAUGCCUCCAGCUUGAGAAGCACUGAUAUAUGAUGACCUUAUAAAUCUAUCAAGCAUUUAGCAUAUAUUUUGGUAUCCCCAGGAUCUCUGUUAAAGUACAUAUUAUCUUAGAGAGGCCUUAAGAUUGCUCAGAGUGGUCUAAGCCCCCUCCGGCCCUCCCUUUUCAUGUCCAUGUAAUUAUAAAUUAUUAUUUGUUAAUUAUAACACUCUGAAAUAGUUAUGUAUGAUAAUUUAGUGAAUUACCAAUAGGUAACUCAUACAUUUUUCAUAUAUUUUUUUGGAAUAGGUAGGAAAUUUAAAAAUGACAAUAUUUAAUAAUAUUAAUGACUGUAUUUGAUAAAAAGAAAUUAUUUAAAUACAUGCAUACAAAUAAUUUAGAUCAAAAAAGUAAUUAUACAAUGAAAAAUUUUUAAUUUUAUUCGUUAAAUCAUAAUAUAUUUUCAAUUUUCU